UAUAUUUUGAGUUAUCAAACAAAUUCGAAGAAUUAUUAGAUUUGUAAAGAUUUUUAACAGGGUUAAAGAUUAUCUUCGAGUCGUUGUGAUCGAGGAGAGUUUUCGAGAAGAAAAUGGUGGUGACCUUCAUUUUUAAAGAGAGACGUAGUAGUUAUCUCGCUAAGCGGAAAAUAUUUCAACUGUCUAGUUUAGACUACCUUCUUCGAAUAAAGUCACAAAAUAAAGAAAAGAAGAAGAAAACCUAGCCACGUGUCGUCUUUUUUUCUUCUUCUUUUUUUCUGUUUUUUUUUUUUUUUCUUUUUGUCUUUUAUCGCGAUUAAAUCAAUAUUCAAGAUUGUGAAUGAUAAUGAAACAACGAUCGAUUAAAGAAACGCGAAUAACACUUUGAGAAUGAUACGCGAUGGGCAUAUUUCUACUUGGCAACUCUAUUUCCUAGAGAGAGAGAGAGAGAGAGAGAGAGAGGGAGAGAGAGAGCAAGAGAGAAGUAGCAAAGGAGCUCCGAUCUAUAAAUAAAAAUCGGAGGUGCUCACGGUUAGCAGAUGAAAGUCUCUAGUUGGUGACUUGGACCCAGUAGUAAACGUGCAAAGUUUCGUAACACGAGUUUGGAACGAGGGGGGUGAACGCUGCUUACUGACGCCGCCACGUGCAAAGGCUCACCUUGAGGGUGAGCACUGAGGUCGGCUGUACUCCGACAAGUAGCUCCUGCGGAGGCUGCUGGUCGUAGCCGAUGAGUAGUAACUGCGGGCCGAUCGAUCAGAAACGAUUUUAACGUCGUUUCUUUGGCAAUAAGAUCUUCUGCAAUCGGAAACGUAGCUGGAACGAAGACUAGGAAUCGUCGAUGAUGGGGACGAUGAAUAAAUGCUCGAACGAUCUCGAAGCGACGAUGGGGUAUCUCUUGAGGUGUAAUUGUACUUGGACGUUGAACUACUGCUCCCUCCACUACCGGUUACUCCACUGCUGCUACUAGCACCUCCACCACCACCACCACCACCACUACUACCACCGCCACCACCACCACCACCACCACCUCCAACUCCGGAUGUUGUUGUACUCGAAGAUGUCGAGCCACUUGAAUAUCGCCUGCUAGGUGAAUGUGGUGCCAUUGGGCUGGUACUGUAAGACACGGCUACGGAGCCCGUUUGACCUCCGCGGUGAUACGACAUUGCACUUUGCUAUCUUUUCUUUCUUUUCUUCCUCUUCCUUUCCUUCUUUCUUCGCUCUCUAUAAAAAAAAAAAAAAAAAAAA